rnacentral:ncRNA from 1 species
UAAAAUGCAUCGGGGUGCUUCUUUCUGAAGAGGCUGAGACUUUACCCGUGUACCUGAACUGGAUAAUACCAGCGGAGGAAAUGCAGGCGGUUUUGAU